GGGAUUCACACCCUACAAGCAAAGGAUUCACACUUUAAACUAGUAAAGUGCACUCAGUAGAGUGCCGAUCCAUAGCUGUUGAGUCGCCCUCUCCCAAACAAAGAAGCGUUGAAUCUCACUCAUUUGUUAUCUGGUAAAUCACCUGUGGUCCCUGUCACGGUUGGGAUUCCAUGUUCCACUGAUACGUAUGAACAUACAAACAGACACCAGCGCCUGACGCUCAGCCCGCACAACCCGGAAGCCUGAGAUCGUCAUAGGACCCGCUGCACACCCGAAGAUUGAGCACAAGAGGAGCACUACCUUUCACCUGCACGUUUUGGACACCUUUUUCCUUCUUACAUGGAAUAAUUGUCAGUAAAACACCUUCUGGGGAUGAGUUACACACUCUCUUGUUGCGUCCUGACUCCUCCCGCGACAUACUUUUACCCUCAUAGCUACAGUAUAAUGAAUAAAUGAAUGCCUUGUCAAUUACACUCAGAGAGAAUCAAAAUAUCCACAAAUGCCGUCCUAAUAACAAUCAAUUGAAAAAUGGAUGUGUGUAACAGACAAAGGACUGUUAUGCAGGAAAAAGCCUUGGGUGUCUCGCGUCACACCAGAAAUCUACGUUGACAUUUUACUCCACACUUGGACUUGGACAACAUAACACACAGGUCUAUUUUAAGCCAGUUUUACUAGAUCUAUAUAAUAUGUUUUUUUU
ensembl:lncRNA